ACGGUCCAUUAUCCGUUACCCGCCUUAAACCGUUGCAGUUUUCCUCUAUCUCUCCAACCACCAAAUUUUCUCAAUGAGGAAAGCAAAAAGGUAGACGACUAAAUUACUUGAAUUUACUUCCGAUCAUAAUAACCUGUGAGUUCGAGUCACCAAUAGAGGGAAAAAAGGCGGGAGAGAGUCACCAAGAGAGCAAAAAAGACGGGAGGUCGAGCUCAUAGGAAGUAAAUUCAAGUAAAACAAUGAAUGCAAUUCAUCUGAGCAGCAUUUUUCAGCAGCCCUUUUCUUCAUUUCUACUCUUUUCACUUCCCAAAUCGAAACCAUUUAACAAUUCAAGAAUCAAAGCAUCAUCAUCAGAAAAAGAAGGAAGGAAUAAAGAAAUUCGAGUUUGUACAGAAAGGGCAUGUAGAAAACAGGGAUCUUUAGAUACCCUUCAAGUUUUAUCCGGGAUUGUUCCUCCCUUUGUAUCUGUGAAUUCAUGUGGGUGUCUUGGACGUUGUGGAGCUGGGCCUAACGUCGUAGUUUUACCGGGUCCUGUAUUUAUCAAGCAUUGUGGUACUCCUACUCGAGCUGCUGAAGUUAUGGCGUUCGUUUGUUUUGGUAGGGAUGAUGUUGAAGAGGAGAGUAGGAGAAGUUUAGAGGCUUUAGCUUUGAGGAAAAGAGCUGAGGAUGAGAUGGGUAAUGGUAAUUUCUGCGAGGCUCAUCGGUUGCUUUCACAGGCUAUUGACCUAAAACCAUUUGGAGGAGUCCAUAUUAUGCUGAAAGACAGGUCUGCUGUGGAGUUGGCAAUGGGAAAUUUGGCUGAGGCAUUUGAUGAUGCUAAGGAGGCGUUGACUAUUGCUCCCAAUUAUCCUGAAGGUUAUAUUUCCCAAGGUGAUGCUUUUAUGGCUUUGGAUCAAGUUGAUGCAGCUGAAAAGUCAUACUCCAUGGCUUUAGAGUUAGAUCCAUCCUUCCGACGUUCAAAAUCUUUCAAGGCUCGUAUCGUGAAGCUAAAGGAGAAAGUUGCUACUGCAAAUUUGGCAUGAAGGACAUGCUCGUACGAUUUUACUAAUUAAGAUCUCUGUCAACCGAAUUUGCCUUGAGGUGGAAAGGAAGGCUGAUAUGACAAUGAACUCUCUGCAUCAGAAUCAAUUGACUUAGUGGUGGAAUUGUCUUCCUCAUUGCAGAAACCAUUCUCAUUGUAACUUAGUGGUGGAAUGGGAGAAGAGUAUCGACGAUGAUUAUGGUUCUUGGCAAGUGCUUGGCAGUAGCGAUCAGCCAAGGAGACAUAGCUGUUGUACAAUUCUUGAAGUAAGGCCAAGAGUUGUGGCCUUUGCUGGUAAUAGGCAUCGGCGCGUUCUGCAAAACUAUCAGAAGUGUCUUUUUCUGGGAUUUUAAGAGCCACCUUCUUCAUCUUCUCAUCCAAAUCUAAAGAAAACAAAAACACCCAAAUUCAAAUAGAAUUAAAUAAAUGUCGGUGAUAUGAUUCACUUGACAGUAGAACAUUUUGAAAUUUGAAUUGCAAAGGCACAUUGCUUUCAUCUUUAGCCCAUAUCUUUGCCCAUGUGUAGAUAGUGACAAAUUUUGGAGGUACAUGAAAAUGAAAUCACUUGUUUUGA